AACGAACGCUGGCGGCAUGCCUAACACAUGCAAGUCGAACGAAGGCUUCGGCCUUAGUGGCGCACGGGUGCGUAACGCGUGGGAAUCUGCCCUUUGGUUCGGAAUAACAGCUGGAAACGGCUGCUAAUACCGGAUGAUGGCGAAAGUCCAAAGAUUUAUCGCCAGAGGAUGAGCCCGCGUUGGAUUAGGUAGUUGGUGGGGUAAAGGCCUACCAAGCCGACGAUCCAUAGCUGGUCUGAGAGGAUGAUCAGCCACACUGGGACUGAGACACGGCCCAGACUCCUACGGGAGGCAGCAGUGGGGAAUAUUGGACAAUGGGCGCAAGCCUGAUCCAGCAAUGCCGCGUGAGUGAUGAAGGCCCUAGGGUUGUAAAGCCCUUUUACCCGGGAAGAUAAUGACUGUACCGGGAGAAUAAGCCCCGGCUAACUCCGUG
rnacentral:rRNA from 1 species